UUGAUGUGUAGGAUAGGUGGGAGGCUUUGAAGUGUGGACGCCAGUCUGCAUGGAGCCGACCUUGAAAUACCACCCUUUAAUGUUUGAUGUUCUAACGUUGACCCGUGAUCCGGGUUGCGGACAGUGUCUGGUGGGUAGUUUGACUGGGGCGGUCUCCUCCUAAAGAGUAACGGAGGAGCACGAAGGUUGGCUAAUCCUGGUCGGACAUCAGGAGGUUAGUGCAAUGGCAUAAGCCAGCUUGACUGCGAGCGUGACGGCGCGAGCAGGUGCGAAAGCAGGUCAUAGUGAUCCGGUGGUUCUGAAUGGAAGGGCCAUCGCUCAACGGAUAAAAGGUACUCCGGGGAUAACAGGCUGAUACCGCCCAAGAGUUCAUAUCGACGGCGGUGUUUGGCACCUCGAUGUCGGCUCAUCACAUCCUGGGGCUGAAGUAGGUCCCAAGGGUAUGGCUGUUCGCCAUUUAAAGUGGUACGCGAGCUGGGUUUAGAACGUCGUGAGACAGUUCGGUCCCUAUCUGCCGUGGGCGCUGGAGAACUGAGGGGGGCUGCUCCUAGUACGAGAGGACCGGAGUGGACGCAUCACUGGUGUUCGGGUUGUCAUGCCAAUGGCACUGCCCGGUAGCUAAAUGCGGAAGAGAUAAGUGCUGAAAGCAUCUAAGCACGAAACUUGCC
rnacentral:rRNA from 1 species